GGUACUGAUCACUCUUCUCAGCAAAGUCCUCCUCUUGCUUGGUCACUCUGUGAUUGAAGUCUCCCAAUUUCACAGCGACUUUCUUUUUAUACACCUGGGAAAACGAAUGGCCAUGGGGAGAGUGAGUUUGGUGGCAUGGAGGAUCACUCCCAAAGUAGACAGCUUCAUGGUUUUCUUCAGUGAUGGCUUUUUAACUAUAGCUCAUCCAUGCCUGGUAUCAAGACUCAAUUAGCAGACAUUGGCUAACCUUUGGCUGAGGAUGCUAUGGGAAGAGAAUUGCUAUUAGUGAAUCUAUAAUAAGAAUGAGUUGCCCUCAAACAGAAGAAAAACUGCCAUAUGAAGAACUGGAGUGCAAAAUAUGUUAUCAGAAAUUUAAUGUUUACAGUCGUAAACCCAAAAUCUUGGACUGUCUUCACAGAGUGUGUGCAAGUUGCCUGACUAAGAUAGCUCACACAGGAGAUGGAACUAGCACAUGUAUUAGCUGUCCCUUUUGCCGCUAUGACACAGAGAUGCAAGAGGAAAAGAUAGCAGGACUUCCUGAUGACACAAACAUUAUGUCUAAACUUUUGCUCAAGGACAAGACAACAUGGAACUCAGACAGCAGUGAAGCGGUCUUAACACCAAAGAAUUUGGUAUCUUCAAGUCCUUCCCACGGAUUUUCCAACUGUUUAGCACUGACACUUAUGGAAGUUCAGCCAAACUGGACAAGGACUCCCAGCCAAAACACUAUCUCUGAUUACUAUGGCGGUCACAGUUCGGAUUCAGUAUCUAUAAGUUCUUAUAGUCAAAUUGAUCAAGACCUUUUCUCUAAAAUCUGUAAUCAUGUACCUAGAAUACUAAAGUGGCUAUUGGGAUUUUUCUACUUUGGAUCCCUGCCUCUUGGGAUCUACUUGUUGGUGAUCCAGAAAAUAACCCUGGGAA